rnacentral:rRNA from 1 species
UAAGCAUAUCAAUAAGCGGAGGAAAAGAAACUAACAAGGAUUCCCCUAGUAACUGCGAGUGAAGCGGGAAAAGCUCAAAUUUAAAAUCUGGUGGUCUUUGGCCGUCCGAGUUGUAAUUUAGAGAAGCGUCUUCCGCGCUGGACCGUGCACAAGUCUCCUGGAAUGGAGCGUCGUAGAGGGUGAGAAUCCCGUCUUUGGCAUGGACACACCAGGGCUUUUGUGAUGCGCUCUCGAAGAGUCGAGUUGUUUGGGAAUGCAGCUCAAAAUGGGUGGUGAACUCCAUCUAAAGCUAAAUAUUGGCGAGAGACCGAUAGCGAACAAGUACCGUGAGGGAAAGAUGAAAAGCACUUUGGAAAGAGAGUGAAACAGUACGUGAAAUUGUUGAAAGGGAAACGCUUGAAGUCAGUCGCGUCGACCGAGACUCAGCCUCGCCUCGGCUUGGUGUACUUCUCGGCCGACGGGUCAGCAUCAAUUUUGCCUCUUGGAUAAUGGCGGGGGAAAUGUGACACCUUUACGGUGUGUUAUAGUCUCUCGUCGCAUGCAAGGGUCGGGAUUGAGGAACUCAGCACGCGCCUUUGGGCGUCGGGGCUUUGCCCACGAUUACGUGCUUAGGAUGUUGGCGUAAUGGCUUUAAACGACCCGUCUUGAAACACGGACCAAGGAGUCUAACAUGCCUGCGAGUGUUCGGGUGGAAAACCCGUGCGCGCAAUGAAAGUGAAAGUUGGGACCUCCGUCGUGGAGGGCACCGACGCCCGGACCAGACCUUCUGUGACGGCUCUGCGGUAGAGCAUGUAUGUUAGGACCCGAAAGAUGGUGAACUAUGCCUGAAUAGGGUGAAGCCAGAGGAAACUCUGGUGGAGGCUCGUAGCGAUUCUGACGUGCAAAUCGAUCGUCAAAUUUGAGUAUAGGGGCGAAAGACUAAUCGAACCAUCUAGUACCUGGUUCCUGCCGAAUU